AUGGCAGUUGGGUUGUUCUUCUCCCUUCAUCUCUUUCUACCCUUUCUCUUCUCACUCUUUCUAGGAAAAGGAGGCUCUGUGAGGAGGACAGUGCAUCAGAGUUGUGGCCACUAUUACCAAAAAAAAGUCAAGAGAAGAGCAGACAUCUCAGCAACACGGCUUACAACGGAGUUCAAGAAUGCUGGUAGUGAUGUGCUUUCACAGUUAAUUUUGCAAGACUUCCAUGCAGUUUCCUGGAGAAGGUGGACUCCUACCCUCCGGAAUUGUGUUUUACAUGUGCUCAUGGAUGAGCAAGAGAACUAGAGGUCAUCAUUCCUUCCUUCCUUCACUGUGGCCUCCAAGCUUCCACACAUCAGCACAUUGAUUGUCGGAGGGGGUCCCGGGCCUCAAAAGAGUGUGCAGAAAGAACAAACAAAG
rnacentral:lncRNA from 1 species